rnacentral:rRNA from 1 species
UAAUACUGGAUAGGCAAUUAUUCCUGUAAUGGUUUUUUGUUUAAAUGUUUUUUCGCCUAAGGAUGGGUCUGCGGCCGAUUAGGUAGUUGGUUAGGUAAUGGCUUACCAAGCCUUUGAUCGGUACGGGUUGUGAGAGCAAGAGCCCGGAGAUGGAACCUGAGACAAGGUUCCAGGCCCUACGGGGUGCAGCAGGCGCGAAACCUCCGCAAUGUGAGAAAUCGCGACGGGGGGAUCCCAAGUGCCAUUCUUAACGGGAUGGCCUUUCUUUAGUGUAAAAAGCUUUUGGAAUAAGAGCUGGGCAAGACCGGUGCCAGCCGCCGCGGUAACACCGGCAGCUCUAGUGGUAGCAAUUUUUAUUGGGCCUAAAGCGUCCGUAGCCGGUUUAAUAAGUCUCUGGUGAAAUCCUGUAGCUUAACUGUGGGAAUUGCUGGAGAUACUAUUAGACUUGAGACCGGGAGAGGUUAGAGGUACUCCCAGGGUAGAGGUGAAAUUCUGUAAUCCUGGGAGGACCGGCUGUUGCGAAGGCGUCUAACUGGAACGGUUCUGACGGUGAGGGACGAAAGUUAGGGGCGCGAACCGGAUUAGAUACCCGGGUAGUCCUAACUGUAAACGAUGCGG